UGGGAAGUAGGCAAAUAGGCAAAGCCGUCGCACUUUGAAUGCGAAGUUUUGGGGGUUCGAUUCCCUCCUUCCCAG
rnacentral:tRNA from 3 species